ACGGCCAUGACAAAAUAAGUUAUAAUUACCGUCAAGUUCAAGUCUUUAUGAAUCUAUGUAUUGAUAAAUAAAAGGAUUUUUCUAUCUGGAAAUGCACUCACUUGGAGGCUGAAACUAAGGGAGUUACCAGAGAAGAUAUGUUGAGUGUUAUGCACAGAUUAGUGGGUACGCUGGCCAAGAUUGAGCUUGAUUUUGUAGCAGCUAUAUGGUGAUUUACGUGGCAUGUAAGGAACAAACUCGUCGUUGAGGGAAGAAACCAAACCCCAUGUUUUCAUCUACUAAGGGUAAAACAGUCAUGGAUGUUAGAACCAAAAAAAAAUUGAUAAAAACCAUUACCUACAACCCAUGAACAUUCAUGUUGUACCAACAAAAAUCAAUAACAAAUUAUGCAAAAACAUACAUGAAUCCAUAACACUAAAUUGCUCUUUAGGAUUGUGUGGUUGGCCUUCUAGAUCAACACGUUCUCCUAGUGAAUCCUUUGAUAUCAUAUGCACUGUCUCUCUAAUGAUGGUAUGUCAGUAGAGAAUAGAAUGAUAUACGUGACUUAAGGAUCAUAACCACUUAUAUAGACAACCUUUUCCUGUUGUCAUUAGGUAUUCCUAAUUCUGUCCAUCAUAGAAUUAGAAUACAAUUAGGUCUCUACACAUUAAAGGCCCACACCCGUUAGAUACAUUAAAGGCCAUAAUACCAAACACCUUAAUAGAUCACUUUUAACUAGGCUUAAACUUAUAUAACAGUUUGCAAUACAUAAUUAUUCACAUAUAAGCCUGAUGUUGGAUUAAAAAUCCAACAAUGCUAAAUUAAAAAUCCAACAAUGGAUGCUUAUCAAAAAGUGAAGGUGAAGGAACAAAAUUGCAAAAAAAAAAAGCAAAGAAGAUAGAAAACUGCGAGAAUAGAGUCCACUACCUAUCAAUUGCUUAAAAGUCAAUGUUGAUGUUGUUGUCCAUAAAGAUAAGCAAGUUGUAGGUUUAAGGGAACUCACUAGGCCAAGUGAUAGUUGCAGCAAUGAAAACAUAAAAUUUCAAGGGAAUAUUUCUCUUGUAGAAACUCAAGCUGUCAAAUAGGGGAUAGAGGUGGCAAAAGAGGCAAGCCUCACAGAUGUGAUUUUUGAAACAAAUUGCAGUGAAUUGGCUGACUUAACCAACAACAAAACCAACAAUAGAACAGAAAUUUGGUGGACUAUAUCAUAGAUUCAAAGAAGUAAAUAAAAUUUUCAAUCGGCAAUAGUCCAACAUGUACCAAAGCAUUGUAAUAUUCUUGCUCACUCUCUCACUAAAAGAGCUUUUAGAAGCUCGAAAUAUGUCAUAUGGCUGGAUGGAUUCCCAGCUAAUAUAUUGUAUUUGUUUUUUUUAUUAUUAUUAUCUCAAAUGAAUGAAAGGGUUACUUCAAUUUUUUCUAAACAAUAAAAAGAUUUUUCUAAGUUACAUGUAUUUUAACUUACAAUCAAAUUUUUUUAGUGUAAAAAUGAGUAAUACAGUAGUGGAGUCUGAUGGGCUUGUGAGUGAAUUUUACUUAGCUAUAAGUUACAAUAAACAUAACUUAAAGUGACUCUGAAUAAAAUUGAUAUUGUUCAAUUCCUAGGAUUGUCAAUAUUUACAUUUUAAGUAAUUCACAAUACUUUUGUGUCAACUUUAAAUUCUAUUUAAUAUGGUAACGUUGCAGUAGCCAUUCACCGCUAAAAAAAAGUAUUAUUUUAUGGGAAAUACUUGGUGUAAAGAAAGAUGAGAGAAAUAAAGAAGAAAAAAGAAGAAAGAGAGUGGGUGGGUAGAGAGAGAGAAGACAAAUAUUUCUCAUCUUUCUCUACACCUAGCACUACUCUUAUUUUAUUGUUAUAAUAGGUAGCUAGUCUAUAUAUACUAGAGCAAGCUAUUUGUGAGUCUAUGUAAAUUUAAAUAAAAUUGAUACCAUUCAAUUCUUGGGAUUUUCACUAUUAGUGUUUUUAAACCGUUCACAUACUGAGACUCUAUUUUGGUUUAAGUCUUAAUAAGCGAAAAAAUAUUAUUAUUGAGAUUCAUUAAAAAAUAAAUAAAUAAAUAAAAGUGAUCUCUAAUAGAACUACAAGUUUUAGAUUGAUCAAUUGAUGAUGAUUCACAUUUUUGUAGUCAUAUUAUCCAACCUAAAUACCCUCUAAAAUAAAAUAUAGAAAGUAGGAUGAGAAAAAUUGGUCCCAUCUACUUUGGGGCAUGAUCACUUUCCAUAUUUACAAAAUGAUCAAGAUUUUUGCCAUAUUUUUGUACAUAAUAGUUAUAAUUCUUGGCAUACAUGUGCAUGUGCAUGCUAUAUAUACUUGAUUCUUAUCAUACAAGCACCACCUAAGGGUCUUGAUGGUUAUAAUAUAUAUCACAUAAUAAAAUUGAUUCCUGUCAUAUAUAUUUACAUCCCAUGUCAAAAUGCCAUGAUUGAAAAGGAUCUGCAUGUGAUUCCUAGAAAUGAUCAUUUAAAUUUUAGCAAGUUGUUUUACAAAUUCAUGAGACUUCAACAUAAGGAUACGCUGGAAACAAUUAAUGAAGUUCUUCAUUAUAUGCAUGAUGUGCAUCCGGCCGAUUUAGAUUUGUCACAAAUUAAAAAAUAACGACAACGAUUAUAAUUUUUUUUUUGAAUUGAUCGAAUACAAAAAAGUAAUUUUACAAAUUAAAGAAUCACGCUUGAGAUAAUUAAAGAGCACCCCUCCUAAAAAUCUCAAGUAACACACCCUUAAUCACUUUAUGGACACGUAAUUGAUAGCAACAAAACACGAUUAAGAGACA
rnacentral:lncRNA from 1 species